rnacentral:tRNA from 1 species
GUCUUUGUAGUAUACUGAUUACUUUGGUCUUGUAAACCAAGAAUGGAGAGCUCCCUCUCCCUAAGACU